rnacentral:rRNA from 1 species
CCUACGGGAGGCAGCAGUGAGGAAUAUUGGUCAAUGGGCGUAAGCCUGUACCAGCCAAGCCGCGUGAGGGAUGAAGGUUCUAUGGAUCGUAAACCUCUUUUAUAAGGGAAUAAAGUGCGGGACUUGUCCCGGUUUGUAUGUACCUUAUGAAUAAGGAUCGGCUAACUCCGUGCCAGCAGCCGCGGUAAUACGGAGGAUCCGAGCGUUAUCCGGAUUUAUUGGGUGUAAAGGGUGCGUAGGCGGCCUUGUAAGUCAGAGGUGAAAGUCAGUGGCUCAACCAUAGGAUUGCCUUUGAAACUGGGAGGCUUGAGUAUGUUUGAGGCAGGCGGAAUGCGGGGUGUAGCGGUGAAAUGCUUAGAUAUAACGCGGAACCCCGAUGGCGAAGGCAGCCUGC